rnacentral:rRNA from 1 species
CACAAGCGGCGGAGCAUGCGGAUUAAUUCGAUGCAACGCGAAGAACCUUACCAAGGCUUGACAUACACCGGUAACGCCCAGAGAUGGGUGCCCCUUUGUGGUCGGUGGACAGGUGGUGCAUGGUUGUCGUCAGCUCGUGUCGUGAGAUGUUGGGUUAAGUCCCGCAACGAGCGCAACCCUCGUCCUAUGUUGCCAGCGGGUCAUGCCGGGGACUCAUGGGAGACUGCCGGGGUCAACUCGGAGGAAGGUGGGAUGACGUCAAAUCAUCAUGCCCCUUAUGUCUUGGGCUUCGCGCAUGCUACAAUGGCCGGUACAAAGGGCUGCGAUACCGCGAGGUGGAGCGAAUCCCAGAAAGCCGGUCUCAGUUCGGAUUGGGGUCUGCAACUCGACCCCAUGAAGUCGGAGUCGCUAGUAAUCGCAGAUCAGCAACGCUGCGGUGAAUACGUUCCCGGGCCUU